rnacentral:rRNA from 1 species
UACGUAGGGGGCGAGCGUUAUCCGGAUUUACUGGGUGUAAAGAGCGCGUAGGCGGUUCCGUAAGUUGGUUGUGAAAGUUCGAGGCUCAACCUCGAAACUGCGUCCAAUACUGCGGGGCUGGAGUGCAAGAGAGGCAAGUGGAAUUUGCAGUGUAGUAGUGAAAUGCGUAGAUAUCAGGAAGAACACCGGAGGCGAAGGCGGCUUGCUAGCUUGUAACUGACGCUGAGGCGCGAAAGCUAGGGGAGCGAACGGG